rnacentral:rRNA from 1 species
UAUAAAUUUAAUUGAGAUUGAUCCUGUCUUUAUUGAUUAGCUGUUUAAAUAAUAUCAAAUAUAAGUUUUUGCGUGUUUAAUUAUUUAUCUUAAAGGUAAAUAAUGAUUGAUGUAAUUGUAGUUUUUUAUUUUAAAUAUUACAUAAUUGUAGAUUUAGUUAAUUUAGAUAAAGAGUUGUUGAAGACUGUGCCAGCAUAUGCGGUUAUACAUUCGACUCAAGUUAAUUUUAUUGGUUAAUAUUAAUUUUUAAUUUUGAAGAUUAAAUUUUUAAUUAUAAAGUGAAAUUUUUAAUUAGGAGAAUAUUCUUUGGGUUUAAGAUUAUAGGAAAUUUAGAAUUAUAAACUAGGAUUAGAUACCCUAUUAUUUUAAAUGUAUUGAUUUAACCAUAGUAUUAAUAGUUAUGAUCUUUAAAUUAUAAGGAUUUGGCGGUAAUUUAGUCUUUUCAGAGGAAUCUGUUCUGUAAUCGAUAAUCCACAUUGGAUUUA